UCUGCCUUUAGAGGCAUUGCAGGUGUGACUGUUGUGUCACAUGUACUUCGGUAGGUGGCCAAGAGGAGAAAAGCUACAUAUAUGCCCAUUGAUCUUACUUAUGAACAUCAGAAUGGGUACCCUAAUAUU
ensembl:snoRNA LOC120103330 small nucleolar RNA SNORA17